rnacentral:misc_RNA from 1 species
GUGAAUCAUCGAAUCUUUGAACGCACAUUGCGCCCGCCAGCAUCCUGGCGGGCAUGCCUGUUCGAGCGUCAUUACAACCCUCAGGCCCGGCCUGGUGUUGGGGUCCUGCGCCGCGCAGCCCCCGAAAGACAGCGGCGGUGCCGUCCCGGUCCCGAGCGUAGUAGCUUACCUCGCUACGGGCGCCGGGCGGUCGCCUGCCGUUAAACCCCAUCAUAUUACUGUUGACCUCGGAUCAGGUAGGAAUACCCGCUGAACUUAAGCAUAUCAAUAAGCGGAGGA